AAGGGCCUUAUGCUUCUGGAGCGGCCGAUGUCUGAUUAGCUAGUUGGUAGGGUAAGGGCUUACUAAGGCGACGAUCAGUAGUUGGUCUGAGAGGACGACCAGCACACUGGGACUGAGACACGGCCCAGACUCCUACGGGAGGCAGCAGUGGGGAAGUUUGGACAAUGGGCGCAAGCCUGAUCCAGCAAUGCCGUGUGAGUGAAGAAGGCCUUCGGGUUGUAAAGCUCUUUCAGUCGAGAAGAGAAGGUUGUGACUAAUACUCAUAACUCAUGACGGCAUCGACAGAAGAAGCACCGGCUAACUACGUGCCAGCAGCCGCGGUAAUACGUAGGGUGCGAGCGUUAAUCGGAAUUACUGGGCGUAAAGGGUGCGCAGGCGGCUCUGUAAGUCAGAUGUGAAAUCCCCGGGCUUAACCUGGGAAUU
rnacentral:rRNA from 1 species